CUGCCCAGUGACAAAGUUCAACGGCCGCGGUACCCUGACCGUGCGAAGGUAGCAUAAUCACUUGUUCCUUAAAUAGGGACUAGUAUCAACGGCAUCACGAGAGCUAUACUGUCUCCCCCACCCCAUCAGUGAAACUGAUCCCCUCGUGAAGAAGCGAGGAUAUUACCAUAAGACGAGAAGACCCCAUGGAGCUUUAAACUUGCACCACUGSCUCCUCAUACACCAAAAUAACCCAGGCAACAUGGCAGCUAGUCUUUCGGCUGGGGCGACCACGGAGAAAAACAGAACCUCCA
rnacentral:rRNA from 1 species